rnacentral:rRNA from 1 species
AACGAACGUUAGCGGCGCGCCUAACACAUGCAAGUCGCACGAGAAAGGGCUUCGGCCCCGGUAAAGUGGCGCACGGGUGAGUAACACGUGGGUAAUCUGCCCUCGAGCGGGGGAUAACAUUCCGAAAGGAGUGCUAAUACCGCAUAAGACCACGACCUCGAAAGAGGAUGCGGUCAAAGCUGGCCUCUAUAUAUAAGCUAGCACUUGAGGAUGGGGUCCGCGGCGCANCAGCUAGUUGGUGGGGUAAUGGCUCACCAAGGCUAAGACGCGUAGCUGGUCUGAGAGGAUGAUCAGCCACACUGGAACUGAGACACGGUCCAGACUCCUACGGGAGGCAGCAGUGGGAAUCUUGCGCAAUGGGCGAAAGCCUGACGCAGCGACGCCGCGUGAGUGACGAAGGCC